GGGUAGCGGUGAGGAGAGGAAGAGAAUAGGUCUAGCGGUAGGGUCGCACCAGGAGAAGGAGAAGAGGUAGGUUGGGUCGGUCUUCGAACUAGACCGGCAAGCGGGGUCAGCGGCCAGGGCACCCAGUCGUCGGAGCGGAGGUGGGCUAAGUCAGCGCAGGAGGAAGGGUUCCGAAAGAGGCUAGACGGUUGGGUGGUGGGGUGGUACGGAGCGAGAGAGACGGGGGAGGAAGGGGUGCGUCGCGGCUACCCCGUCCCGGAGGCGCCGGCGGCCGCGGGAGACGCUGAGGAGAAGAGGUACUAAGCGGGCGAUAAUGAGGAGAGGAGGUGCUAAGCACCACUACAACCCCACCGUAGAAGAAGCUCGCCCUCCACACGGAGCAGGAGCGUGUACGGGCCGGCGCGGUAGCCUCGGGGGGCGUCUCCGUCACGAGGCGGUGGGCUACGACAAGAAGCGCAGCAGGACGCGAGGGUUUCGACCCUUGGCCGAGGGGCGGAGGUUCAAGAGCCGUAGCUGCAGGGCACGACGGACGUAGGAGCGGUUCGGGCUGAGCGUCGGCACAUCGGGCUCGAGCGGUUCCGCGAAGUUGAGGCGGCGGCGCGGUAGAAGAAGUCCGCGAGCUCGUGCUCGUGUUCGAGCGGGCGCGGGGUGGAGAGAGACGGCGAGGCAGGCGGCGGGCGCCACGGCACUGGGCGGUGACGGCACGGGACGUAGUGAGACAUCGGCGCGGCGGACCCAGUUACGCCAGUCACGAGAGUUCGGCAACUGGGGCGCGGUCCCCUGCUGAUAAAGGAGGGUACGCACGCGCGGGCACGAGGUCGGGAGGGGAGGGGUACGACGGGCCGUGUGAGCGCGGCGCCCCGGCAUAGGUCGGACACGGACCUGCUGCCUUCGGGGGGGUGACAGACACGCGAGGCCGGUCGAGGGACAGCGCGAGCUCUGGAGGAGCUCAGAAGGGCGGCUCCGGAAGGGCCACUGGUCGGAAACUGAACCCAGAGGACAGGCGGAGCCGCGCCUGCGGGCGGUACUGCGGCCGCCGUUCGCCGCCGCGCACGGGCCGCUACCUCUUGCCGUCCUAUUCGCCACUCUCCGCACCACCACUCGGUCAGGUUAUUCUCUAUUCCCAACGCCCGUAUCAAAGAUUGUUUAAAUCCCCCAAAAUGCGUUUUUGCUUUGCAAAAAGGUUUCACGGUGAAUUUGUCCCUGACGCCCAAUUAAAGUUUCUUUGUCUCCCCGAAAAAGCGUUUUUGCGGCUGCUGCAUGCUGGUCUUCGUGAGGCACGAAAUAAUCAUCCCUUUCUAUAUAUAGAUUAACCUACAUCCCCUCGUACUUAAUAAUAACAACUGUAAUGGGAACUCCAUUUCCAACACCCCGUUUUGAUAUUCGGGGAUAGAAAGAGACACAGGUUAGUUUUGAGGCAUUGUUGUUCAUAGCGCACUCACAAUCGUUAAUACUUCCUGAUUCACUAUCAACUCAUACACCUGAACGAAAAUUCGAGACUGUAUCUGAGAAAAGCUACAAUACUAUUUAACGUUAACGAAGUUACUGACUCCAAUAUUAAACAACCACGAGUUAUUCCAAAGACUAAGUAUGAAAAACGAAACACUUUUCUAGUAGUGAACUUGUAUUCAUUAGUAUACUGUUUUAGAGAUGUACAACAACAAUACCUUUAUUAGUACUACGGAAGUACGGGCAUAAAAUAAAAAUAGAUUUGUACUCCUGUAUAAAUAACAAUAGCCGAAAAGCGAACUCCUGUUCGCUCCAGAUUCGAACCCCCUCAACUAUGCAGGUAAAACGUAGUACGAAAAUAUAGUUGUAAAUAACGUAAUGUCCGACAAUAAAGUGCAAUACAGUGUUAUGAAUACCGAUAAGAGAGAAUAAAAUGUUCCAAAUGUACUUCUCCCUCUUACGGCCGUCGACCUUAAGACCCGACCUUUUCCUCGUUUAUAACCUCCGGAUAAGACGCAUUGAGGUUUUCAGGACUUUGAGGUGCCUUAUAGAAUUUUAUUUAUUUCUUUUUAGCAGCGGUUUCUACUUCCGGUCCCCUGGGUGUGGGACGAGUGCUCCCGCCCCCUGCGGGGGGGGGAGGAUCCCGCGCGGGGGAUGCAGCACCGGGGGGGCCACCGAGAGGCUGUGGGUAGAAGAGGAUAUACUUCAGAAAGUUACUCUUUUUUUGUAGUUCGUUGGAAAGUCCUGCUCUGAGGCGGAGGUGCUCCGCCUUGGAACCGCCUUGGUUAGAUCCCGAGACCGUCUCGACAAGACGGCCCCUGUGAAGGGGGGCCCUCCCCCUUUAGUAGUGGUUGCAGUAGUGGUUACUAGGAGAGUAGCCCUCUCCCGUUAGAGGUAGUUGUAGAAGUGGUCGUGGUAGAGUAGAGGUUUGGGAUCAAGUAGAGAACAUAGGUUAAGAACAGAGGUACAGGCCCUAACCACGAUCAUCCAACGAUCAUCAUAACUAAUGAGGAACAUCAACUACGAUCAACCAAAUAAACCACCUUCUAGUAUACAAGUCUAGGAAAUACGUAUAAUAAUGGGGAGACUAAUACUUGUACUUAUACGAAAAACUCAUCAAUG
rnacentral:rRNA from 1 species